ensembl:lncRNA
GCGCGGGUCACGUGUGAGGAGGGGCGAAAGUCUCGCAAAGCGGGGCGGCGUGCCGCGAGUUGGGAGUUCUCGGCGCGCCGCGGGCGGCGGGAGCUCGGGCUCCCGGGCGAGCCGGGGACGCGGCCGAGGCGGGGGCCGGGGUCCGAGACAGAGGGGGCCGCACGGAGAGUGGGAGGGGGAGAGACAGAGAAGGACAGAGGCCGCGAGGGAGACGGACAGAGACUCGCAGGGGAGAGAGGCAGCGCGGGCAGAGGGAGGCGGGAGGAGGCCAGGGGGCGACCGCGACGGAGACGGAGACCCCGCGGGCAGAGGGCGAGCGGGGCCGCAGGAGGCAGGGAGGCCGGGAGAGGGACGGGGACGCGAGGGCGGCGGAGACCCCGGCGGCGGGAGAGAGACGCAAGAGCGGUCGGGGAGGUGGCGGCAGAGCCCGGCCGGCGGGGGCGGGGAGGGCGACCCCAGGCCGGGAGGCCGAGGGGUCGCGGGGCCGGGGCCGAGCGCAGCGGGGCCGGGAGCGGAGCGCAGGGCCGGGGCCAGAGCGCGCGACCAGGAGCGGGUAACAGCGAGGGAGCGGCGCGCAGCGGGGGGCGGCGGCGGGGAGGGCGCCUGCGGCGGGGGUGGGGGGCGCGGGCGGUGGGGCGCCCCGGGCCCCCGGACCCCCGCGCUCUGAGCCCGGCCGAGCCCAACGAUGCUGACGCCGAGGCGGCGCCUAGGGCGCGGCGCGGGGCAGCGCUGAAAGUUGGGCGGCCCGCGGGGAGCGGCGCGGGACGGCCGGGACGCGCGGAGACCCCAAGACCCACGCGCAGACCGAGCGGCAGCCGGGGAGGGGGGCGCGGGCCGGCCGGCCGAGUUCGGAGGCAGGAGGCACCGGGACUCCCCUCUCCGCGCCCGGGACGCCGCCCGCCGGAUCCCGCCGUGGGAUGUAGCGCCCGCUCGCCGCCUCCCGGACUCUCGUCGGACCCUCCGCCCAGCGGCGGUCUUGCCCACCCUCACAACUCAACCUGUCACCAGCGUUCACCGUCUCAUGCACCCAGCUCUGCCUGCCCUCUCUCUGGAGACUCAGGAUCUGACGUGGGGUAGACAUCUGCAUUUGGACGUUCAAAGCCACUGCACACGGCCCUGCGUCUUCCCAGGU